GACGAACGCUGGCGGCGUGCCUAAUACAUGCAAGUCGAGCGAUGAAGAUUGGUGCUUGCACCAAUUUGAAGAGCAGCGAACGGGUGAGUAACGCGUGGGGAAUCUGCCUUUGAGCGGUGGACAACAUUUGGAAACGAGUGCUAAUACCGCAUAAUAACUUUAAACAUAAGGUUUAAGUAUGAAAGAGGCAAUGGCAUCACUCAAAGAUGAUCCCGCGUUGUAUUGGCUAGUUGGUGAGAUAAAGGCUCACCUAGGCGAGGAUACAUAGACGACCUGAGAGGGUGGUCGGCCGCCUGGGGGCUUGGACACGGACCAUACUCCUGCGGGACGCAGCAGUAGCGUAUCGUCGGCAGUGGACGAGAGUCUUACCGAGCAGCGCCGAGUGAGUGGCGACGGUGCUCUGUGCGUGAUGCUCGGUUAGUGGUGGAGAACGGUUGUGGGAGUGGAAAGCUCAUCAAGUGACGGUAGCUACCCAGAAAGGGACGGCUAACUACGUG
rnacentral:rRNA from 1 species